GAUGCGGGAAAACCCUAUACAAAUCGUAAGGGUCAAGAAAAAACUGGAAAAAGCUGUCCAAAAGAGGGAAGAGCGUGUUCCACUACGUGCAGAAAGGAUUGUGGAAAGUUGACUGAUGAGCGCAAGCUGCAUCUGUUCAACACUUUCUACACUGUCCCAUACGAGAAACAACAAGCGUUGAUUCUCUCCGGCUUAGAACAGCAUGAGGUGAAACGGAGACGUAAACCUGAGGAUACAAAGGAGAACAAACGACGGAAACAAACCUUCAAAUACCAUGUACAGCAAGCAGGCCAGAGAUUGAAUGUGUGCAAGGUCACUUUCAUGUCUGUGUUCCAGCUAACCAACAGCCGUCUUCAGGCAAGUGAAAAUAUGAAUUAAUGUCUAUAUGAAUAUCAAUUACAAACAUAUUGUAUUCUUUGUACUCGUUUUUUUAGAACCUGCUAAUUGAAAUGUAAUUGUUUUGGUCAGGUUGUUCAGGAAAAGUUAGGAGUUCAAGCUGAGGCAGGUGAGGUUGCAGGGUCUCCAGAUCAGGCUACUGAGGCUAGGUCUCCUUUAGAAGAUGGAAGAGGGAAGCAUAGCAAUAGGUAAUGCGCUAUGGAUUCCAGCCUGGAUUAUUUCACUAUAGCAGUGCUCUAAACAAUCUUCUAAACAUUAACAUAGAGUAUCGAAUGGAUGAAUAGCGAAUUCUGAAACAAAAAUAUAAAAAUGUUUAUUACUUUUAAACAAAAUGAUGGUAAUUAAGCUGUCCAACUACAACCUGAGCAUUGAGGACUGAGUGCCGAUUACCU